rnacentral:lncRNA from 1 species
CGUUAUUACCAUAGCUACAAUGUUUAUGAAGUCAUGGGAGAUGUUUUGUCGGAUGCGUUUGUUUGGUGUUUAACCUGAUGAGUGUUGUGCUGAUUGGUAUGUGAAUGUUUCUUGUUUUUAAUUUUCAUUUUCGUCAAUAAUUAUAAACAUGUCAUCUAAACAGCUUACAAUCUAAGAAUGUUAUUUUAGGAUACAAACGGAAUGUGUUACAAGCUUUCUAUCCAACUAUGAUUUCCCGAAUCCCUUUAUCUACCAUGGAUGCAAACGGAAUGAGUACACAACAAGCUUUUUAACAUUCAUCUUCCAAGCCAACCACGUACCCUUAAGAAUGGCCACUAUAUCUCAGUCACGUGCUCCUCCAAGAGUUACUAGAAGACAAGUAUUCCUGAAGAGUAUCUACUGCAAAGAGCCCCAGUCCUCAUUCAUAGUGCUACACUACAUUUAAUUUUUUAUCCAUGUUUGCUAUAUUAGUUUGAUGAUUAAGUAUCGGGAUGUGGUAGUGGUUGUGUAGAACAAAUCUGUUGUAUCAUGUCAUAUUCACACC